rnacentral:lncRNA from 1 species
AGCUGGAACUCCAGUCUGCCUCUUGCCAGCACUUCACAUUUUGCCUUUCACCCAGAGAAGCCAGCACAGAGCCACUGGGGAAGGCGAUGGCCUUGCCUGCACAGGCUGAGGAGAUGGCUCAGCCGGCGUCCAGGCUGUGUCUGGAGCAGGGGGUGCACAGCAGCCUCACAGGUGGGGGCCUGAGAGCAGGCGCUGCCCUGUCCCCUGCCCCGCUGGAGGCAGCAAAGCUGCUGCAUGCCUUAAGUCAAUACUUACUCAGCAGGGCGCUCUCGUUCUCUCUCUCUCUCUCUCUCUCUCUCUCUCUCUCUCUCUCUCUCUCUCUAAAUGGCCAUAGAAUAAACCAUUUUUACAAAAAUAAAAGCCAACAACAAAGUGCUCUGGAAUAGCACCUUUGCAGGUGCGGGGGGUGUCUCAGGGUCUUCUGUGACCUCACCGAACUGUCCGACUGCACCGUUUCCAACUUGUGUCUCACUAAUGGGUCUGCAUUAGUUGCAACAAUAAAUGUUUUUAAAGAA